rnacentral:rRNA from 1 species
GGCUUGGUCAAGGCGGUCCUCACGGCAGUGGCCAUCUACCAUAUCACCCCACUAGACAUCCCGAUGGAGGUGCUACAGAAAAUGGACAAUUUGCGAAGAGCCUAUCUUUGGGCUGGAACUAACACUAUGUCUGGCGGCAAAUGCAAAAUUAACUGGGAGCACGUUUGUAGGCCCAAGCAAUUUGGGGGCCUGGGAAUCCUCAAUUUGAAAAAGUUCGCCACCGCGCUCCGCCUUAGAUGGCUAUGGCUAGAGUGGGAUGACCCGCCAAGGGCAUGGUGUGGUACUGAGCUCCCCUGUAGAAAGGAAGAUCGAGACAUCUUUGCGGCUGUCACUAAGGUCACAACUGGUGAUGGCUCCAAGGACAUUUUCUGGGAGUCUUCUUGGUUGGAUGGCAUCCGUCCCAAAGACAUCGCCCCAAAAAUCUUUCGAGCUUUCCAGGAAGAAGCGUGGCACCAUUGCUUUGGCCCUCAGGGAGGAUAA